AGAAACCCCAAAUUCCUGAACUUUUAUGCUAUAGAAGUCUGCACUUUGCCAUGGAGAGGUGGCAAUAUUACCGAUCUAAAUUCUGAUUUUGAUCUAUUUAACUUUCUAUAAUCACACUUCAGUUAUCUUGUCCCACAUUUUAUGUAUCUAUUUCUUGUAUUUUACCAAGUAUGCCCCUUAUUCCCCCCUUUAUCCACAAGUCUCA